rnacentral:lncRNA from 1 species
CCAAAUCUUUUUUCCCCCUAAUUUCCACAUUUUACCUUAUCAAGAGAUGUAGCCUCUUCAAACAUAGUAGUCAAUGUAGUGAAUAUCUUUUGCUGUCAUCCCUUUGUUCGAAUGGCGGCCUGAUUAAGAAAAGAGACAUAAGAAAAUCAUCACCAAUUGACAUAUGGAAUAACAUGGACAAAUUAAAACAUUGUUGACAUUAAAUUCUGAACUGUAAUACACUUAUUUCGUACUUUAAACUCAAUUAUGAACCCAACAAGACUGGGAAUCAAGCUAACAUCAACUGUAUCAUGCCCAAUUCAGCAAUAAAAAGGCUUUGUUUCCGCUAAACAUUUCAUCAGUAAUGGAGAUCAGUACUCUAGUAUGAAUCAAUGUUACCCAAUUCAUGGUACGGUGGUACGGGUAUGAGUCGCUAAAUUAUAAAUACGUAAUUUGGAGGGGGGGUAUACUUAAUCGGAACGAUAAUUAGGGUCGCAAUUCGUAAACUCCUGAUACGUCUCGAUAUCAUAUUUAUAAGUAUAUAAAGUGUAUAACCAAAAGGAACUUUUUAUAUGAAUUUCAGAAUUUAAACUUUAUUUUGAGUUUGUAUUUAUUAACAGUAAGAAGUUUAAUACUUUUCUAUUAAAGUUAAUGAUAAGUAAAUAUCUUAAAAUAAUAAAGAACUAGAAUAAUAAAAAAUGUCAUGUUUAUUAUUAACAUGUGUUAAUAUUAAAUUAUAAUUAAUACAACAUGAUAUUUUGUAACAUUAUUACAAUAUUUGUUUAUUUUAAAUUUAAUACAUAAAUUGUUACGGCUUAAAUUUAGCUGAUAACUUUUGACAUUCCUUCUUUAAAAAAAAUUAUCUUACCAAUUACUAUCAAUUACCAAUCAAUGGUAAAUAUACAAGAAUUAUCUUUUCCUUUUCAAAAGAAAAAGAAUAGGAAAUCAAAAAAGAACCCAUCACUAUAAACACUCGCUUCCAAAAACCAAUCUCAAGGGUCUCACUCGCGUGUUGUCCCUUCUCGUCUCCCUCCUCUCUCUCAGCCCAAUAGUUGGGUGGAAACACGGUAGUUAACCAAAUCAAUAGAUUCCGUUGAAGAUGAUGGUGAAUACACAGAUUGUUAGUCAGAUCACCGUAAGGUACACUCGUGGAUUUUAUCUUUAUUUAGUUACACGUUUACUACCCGUACUUAUUAGUAAAUUUUUUUAACACGACACUUUGUUAAUUGAAUAUUUGAUUCGCGAACGACCCACAUUUUGGGUCGUGCGAACCAAUUCGUGGUUCGUAGGGGAUAGAGGCGAAUUAGGUAACCCUGGUAUGAAUACAAUCACUAAAGCAGUUGAGUAACCUUCACUAAUGAGUACUAGGGUUAAAAAAUGUUUUUGUCGGCAUGCGCAGCAACCUAUAGAGGAAGUACUCGAACAAUUUGCUUAGAUGAGUAAGAAAUUCUCUAAUUGUUCCAGGUCAAGUCAGAGGUGACUAAUAAACGGGUCAAAAGUUUUGAUUUUAUAUUAUAAUUGCCCGACUGUUGAUUGUCUUGUCAACAAACCACCCGGCUAGUAAUAAAGGGAGUGGUUAGCAUGAAGUUAACUUUAAUUAAUUGGCCAAUACAAUGUCGACACGCAGGCGGAAGGUGAGGUGACCUUUCUCAGCGUGUCAGCACUGAAUUGGUCAAUUAACCAACUUACCAUGAAGUCAUGGUAACUGGAUCCUUCAAUACCAUGGUUAAACAAAGCUUAUGCAUGUAAGUACUAGGUGAUACACAAGAGAUGCUACUAAAUGCCUAUAGUGCUUCUUAAUUAACUUGCCUAGUUAACGACAAAGGAAAUUUUGGGAGCAUGAUUAGAAGCGAAAGGAACAGUACUAAUGUUUAAUGUACUUACACUGAUAGGCAACCCUCCACCGAAAUCACGUCUGGGAGAUAGUAAAUUGACCUGGACAACAGCUGAGAGGCGACAGUGAAUCGACCGGGAUCGACU